GAUGAACGCUGGCAGCGUGCCUAAUACAUGCAAGUCGAGCGAACAGACGAGGAGCUUGCUCCUCUGACGUUAGCGGCGGACGGGUGAGUAAAACGUGGAUAACCUACCUAUAAGACUGGGAUAACUUCGGGAAACCGGAGCUAAUACCGGAUAAUAUAUUGAACCGCAUGGUUCAAUAGUGAAAGACGGUUUUGCUGUCACUUAUAGAUGGAUCCGCGCCGCAUUAGCUAGUUGGUAAGGUAACGGCUUACCAAGGCAACGAUGCGUAGCCGACCUGAGAGGGUGAUCGGCCACACUGGAACUGAGACACGGUCCAGACUCCUACGGGAGGCAGCAGUAGGGAAUCUUCCGCAAUGGGCGAAAGCUUGACGGAGCAACGCCGCGUGAGUGAUGAAGGUCUUCGGAUCGUAAAACUCUGUUAUUAGGGAAGAACAAAUGUGUAAGUAACUAUGCACGUCUUGACGGUACCUAAUCAGAAAGCCACGGCUAACUACGUG
rnacentral:rRNA from 1 species